rnacentral:tRNA from 1 species
GGAGUUGUGGUUCAGUAGUAGAGUGCUCGCCUAGCAUGUGUGAGGCCCUGGGUUCAAUCCUCAGCACCA